CACAAACCUUUUUUUUUUUCAAUUUCAGGUCACAAUAAUACUUCCCUUUUCCAAUUCUUCUCUUUCAUUCUUAUCGACUUUCAUUAUUUUAUUCGUUGUUUCUGAUUUCCACGUCGCCGCCCUCCUCCUCCAAUACUUUUUCGUUCGCAUUUCCUUACUUCCUCUUUCUUUCUUCUUCACUCUUCCUUACGUCUCUCUCCCUCGAAACCCUUCAAUUGGCUGGCCAUAGGGGGUGUUUGGGAUAGCUUUUCAGACCUAAAAGUCCUUUUUAGAAAAGAAUUUUUUGAUUCAUAUCUUUUUCCAAAAGAUAAUUUUAUAAUGUAUUUGUUUAAACUUUUGAGGGAAAAAAAAGCACAGAUACAGACUUCUUAAAAGCCUUAUUUUUCUUCUUCUCCAAAAGAUAUUUAAAAUUUUUUUUUCCAAUUACCAAUUAACUUUUUAAACUUUUGAAAAAUUCCCAAAAUCAUGCAUGCCGACGGCGACGACGCCCUUAUUUUAAUUCAGCUUAUCCCACCGCCUUUUUUUUGUACACCGUCGUCGCCUUCCAAUGGGAUGCCUUCUCCUGCUUUCCUUUUAUCUCUAUUUCUUCUCAAUCCCUUCUUACUUUCUUCCGUCUAAUUUCGCUUUUCAUCACUCUACAAAAUCUGGACGACCACCAUACGGAUUGCCGCUUCACUACCUCUCUCUUACCCAAUAACAACAUCUGGUGUUUGAAAUCUGACUAUAUCGUUCUGAGCUUUGAUUAGCAUAUAGUCCGCUGAAGGAACUUCGUCUCCAAAGCCUAUUCUAAAUGGAUAGUUUCUAUUGGUGGUUGUGGGUUUUUGAUUCCAUGCUUUCAAUUGGUGCUUGUGGGUUUUUGAUUCCAACCAUCUUUUUCCAGGGAUUCCAAUUUUCCACAGCUUCCAACGUUUUUGAUCAAACUGAAAAUUCCUAUUAGACUUAUCCGUUUUGUAUCUCAAACAACCGAUUCCAAACAGAAACAGAAAAGAAGAAGCAAGUAUCCCUUCAUGUUAUCCCGAUAAGUAGAUUUGCGUUGCUUUAUGGUCUGACCUCUCGAAGCCUGAGAUGCAAGCUUUCAUCCAUGAGUAUAUUGAUUGAGUGCGGAGUUCUUUGGUUGAUUAGGCGUGCAACCCGCUUGAUAUGGAGAUUUGAAGGAGAGUUUCACUAUGUAUCCCAACUGGUCAAUGAAAUGCUUGAACCAGGAUAUUUCAUUUGAUGGGUGAUUUGUACAAAUAUGAAGAUAAACAAGUCGGUUUUUUUCUUCUGGAAACAUGGACAAAAGGUUAUUAUUAGGCUCACAUAUUAUAAUAUGCCACAUUACUCCACCUAUUACCUCCCACUCACCCAAAAAAAUCAACUCCAAUUUUCCCAUUUAUCAAUUAAAACCACGUUCAAUCAUCCAUGUCAUCUUUGGUUCAAGCUACAAUGAGGGGAUAUGUUUUAUAUAGAUUGGAGUAUUGGAGCGUUUGAGCCGUCUUGAUGAAAUUGUGCUUCUGAUGCAUGAGAACUGGAGCAAAACAUCACUCUUAUGUUAAUUCAUCGACCUUGCUGCAAGGAGGAAGCUUCAAUAUUUGACCAUUGGUCCAAUCUGCUCCUACAAAAAAUUCCAAAAAGAAAGUUAUCUUAUCUAUUGAAUUUAAUUAAUGCAAAAAUAAUAGUGAAAAGCAGUAAAAAAAAUGUGAUUUUUGAUGUUUGCAGUUCACAAUGGAAGCUAUACUAGCUCGCAUGAACAAAUUGCUUGAGAUCCUUGAAUCAGAGAAUCAAGGAAGGAAUGAAAUUAUUCAUUUUGUUUCCAGAUGGAAUGGCAUUAACCAUUAUGUUCUUCGUGUUUUGUUAAUUUUUCAUUGUUUACUGAGUAAAUGUUUUUCUUUUUCUUUUUCACUCUCAUCGAAUGUCAUGGAUAAAUACAACAUAAACAAAUUCUGUUUAUAUAACUUUUAGUGCCAUUUUGAAAAAAUUAUUUCCA